rnacentral:rRNA from 1 species
AGUAAUGUAUGGGGAUCUGCCUGAUGGCGGGGGAUAACUACUGGAAACGGUAGCUAAUACCGCAUAAUGUCUGCGGACCAAAGCGGGGGACCGUUCGGGCCUCUUGCCAUCGGAUGUGCCCAGAUGGGAUUAGCUAGUAGGUGGGGUAACGGCUCACCUAGGCGACGAUCCCUAGCUGGUCUGAGAGGAUGAUCAGCCACACUGGGACUGAGACACGGCCCAG